GACGAACGCUGGCGGCGUGCUUAACACAUGCAAGUCGUACGGUAAGGCCCUUUCGGGGGUACACGCGUGGCGAACGGGUGAGUAACACGUGAGUAACCUGCCCACAACUUUGGGAUAACGCUAGGAAACUGGUGCUAAUACUGGAUAUGUGCUCCUGCUGCAUGGUGGGGGUUGGAAAGCUCCGGGGGUUGUGGAUGGACUGGCGGCCUAUCAGCCUGUUGGUGGGGUAGUGGCCUACCAAGGCGGGGACGGGUAGGCGGCCUGGGGGGGUGGCCGGCCACAUUGGGACUGAGAUACGGCCCAGACUCCUACGGGAGGCAGCAGGGGGGAAUAUUGCACAAUGGGCGCGAGCCUGAUGCAGCAACGCCGCGUGCGGGAUGACGGCCUUCGGGUUGGAAACCGCUUUCAGCAGGGACGAAGCUUUUUGUGACGGUACCUGCAGAAGAAGCACCGGCUAACUACGUG
rnacentral:rRNA from 1 species